UCGUGCUAGGUGGGGCGUUAGCGGUGCCCUGUACUCGCAAUCCGCUAUAGCGAGACUGAAUGCCCUGUCGAGACAGUUCGCAGAUGGCCACUAGAGUNGNNAUUUAGACGUUGAUAGCCUGGUCCUGCGCGGCGAGGCCUCGUGAACCCCGUCAGGACCGGAAGGUAGCAGCGGUAAGCGAUACACCUCGGGUGCCGUGGGAACGCCGGGCUAGAGUCGGUGUUGAUAUCUAUGUCAUAUGNGGCUGCCGAAACAGGGAUGCACGA
rnacentral:SRP_RNA from 1 species